CGGUGCCCAGAGGAGGCUGCUGAGCCUCAGGCCAUGGUCCCAUCUCACAGGACGUGGAACCUGGGAGCCACGCCCUCGCUGCGGGGCCUGUGGAGAGUGGGCCGGGCCCGGGAGCCGGAGCCAGGGAUGGCUCGCCCCGCCCCAGCCAGCCCAGCCACCCGCCCUUUCCCACACACCGGCCUGGGGAGGUUGAGAACUGGGCGUGGAAAAGACACCCCAACCGGCAGUGACGAGGACUCCAGUGCCCGAAGUGCUGCUCACCCUGCCCUAGCUCAGUGCCGAGCCCUCAGCGUGGACUGGGCUGGCCCUGGGAGCCCCCGCAGGCUCUACCUGGCCGUGCAGCAGGGCCUGCAGGACAAGGGGUGCCAGAGCAAGAGUCAGGGGACCAAAGAAGAGAAGCUCCUGAAGAGGCAGGCGCCAGCCCCCAGGCGGGACCGGGAGGCCCCGGAAGCUGGUGGCACCAUGAAUGUAGAGAAAACAGGUGGGCGGCUCUUUGGCAGCGGGAGGUGCUCAAGUCUGUCAGGGCCGCCAAGCACAGCCCCCAUGGUGCAUAGAAUGGUGGAGGCCAUGUCACAGCUGCAGGAAGAGAAAACCCAGCUACAGGAGGAGCUGGUGGCCCUACGGGAGAGGCUGACCCUCCGCGACAGUGACCAGCAAACCACGGCCACUCAGCUGCAGAACCAGGUGGAAAACCUGAAGGAGAAGCUCAUUAGCCAGGCCCAGGAAGUGAGCCGUCUUCGGUCAGAGCUGGGAGGCACCGACUUGGAGAAGCACCGGGAUCUGCUGAUGGUGGAGAAUGAGCGACUGAGGCAGGAGAUGCGGCGCUGUGAGGCCGAGCUGCAGGAACUGCGGGCGAAGCCAGGGACACCCUGCCCGGGCUGUGAGCACAGCCAGGAGAGUGCCCAGCUCCGUGGCAAGCUGUCCCAGCUGCAGCUGGAGGUGGCGGAGAGCAAAGGCAUGCUGUCCGAGCUGAAUCUGGAGGUGCAGCAGAAGACCGACCGGCUGGCCGAGGUGGAGCUGAGGCUCAAGGACUGCCUGGCUGAGAAGGCACAGGAGGAGGAGCGGCUCAGCCGGCGCCUGCGUGACAGCCAUGAGACCAUCGCCAGCCUGCGGGCCCAGUCACCACCUGUCAAGUACAUCAUCAAGACGGUGGAGGUGGAGUCGUCUAAGACCAAGCAGGCCCUUAAUGAGUCCCAGGCCCGCAACCAGCACCUGCAGGAGCAGGUGGCCAUGCAGAGGCAGGUGCUGAAGGAGAUGGAGCAGCAGCUGCAGAGCUCACAUCAGCUGACGGCCCAGCUCCGGGCGCAGAUUGCCAUGUACGAGUCAGAGCUGGAGCGGGCACACGGGCAGAUGCUAGAGGAGAUGCAGUCCCUGGAGGAGGACAAGAACCGGGCCAUUGAGGAGGCCUUUGCCAGGGCCCAGGUGGAGAUGAAGGCUGUGCACGAGAACCUGGCAGGUGUCCGGACCAACCUGUUGACGCUGCAGCCGGCGCUGCGGACCCUCACCAAUGACUACAACGGGCUCAAGAGGCAGGUGCGCGGCUUCCCCCUACUGCUGCAGGAGGCCCUCAAGAGCGUCAAGGCUGAGAUCAGCCAGGCCAUCGAAGAGGUCAACAGCAACAACCAGGAGCUGCUGCGCAAAUAUCGCCGGGAGCUACAGCUGCGCAAGAAGUGCCACAAUGAGCUGGUGCGGCUGAAAGGGAACAUCCGGGUGAUUGCCCGUGUCCGGCCAGUCACCAAAGAGGAUGGAGAAGGGUCUGAGGCAACCAAUGCUGUGACCUUCGAUCCCGACGAUGACUCCAUCAUCCACUUGCUGCACAAGGGAAAGCCUGUAUCCUUCGAACUGGACAAGGUCUUCUCCCCGAGGGCUUCACAGCAGGACGUGUUCCAGGAGGUGCAGGCCCUGAUCACCUCCUGCAUCGAUGGCUUCAAUGUCUGCAUUUUUGCCUACGGGCAGACAGGCGCUGGCAAGACGUACACAAUGGAGGGGAGCCCUGAGAACCCAGGCAUCAACCAGCGGGCCCUGCAGCUGCUCUUCUCUGAGGUGCAGGAGAAAGCCUCUGACUGGGAGUACACCAUCACGGUCAGCGUAGCAGAGAUUUACAACGAGGUCCUCAGGGAUCUGCUGGCAAAGGAGCCACAGGAGAAACUGGAGAUCCGGCUGUGCCCAAAUGGCAGCGGACAGCUCUACGUGCCGGGGCUGACCGAGUUCCAGGUGCAGAGUGUGGACGACAUCAACAAGGUGUUUGAAUUCGGCCACACCAACCGCACGACGGAGUUCACCAACCUGAACGAGCACAGCUCGCGGUCGCACGCCCUGCUCAUCGUGACCGUGCAUGGCAUGGACUGCAGCACAGGCCUGCGCACCACGGGGAAGCUGAACCUGGUGGACCUGGCCGGCUCAGAGCGUGUGGGCAAGUCGGGGGCAGAGGGCAGCCGCCUUCGGGAGGCACAGCACAUCAACAAGUCGCUAUCAGCCCUGGGAGACGUCAUCGCUGCCCUGCGCUCUCGCCAGGGCCAUGUGCCCUUCCGCAACUCCAAGCUCACCUACCUGCUGCAGGACUCACUGAGUGGCGACAGCAAGACCCUCAUGGUGGUGCAGGUAAGGGCCUCAGGUAGGCUGGGCAGGGCAGCCCUCAGGGUUCUGGGGCCCAGGGACACCAGGUUGUGUAGGGAAGGGGCCCCAAAGCCAGUGACGCCCCUAAUCCCCCCACAACAGACCUGGCCGCAUGGAGCCUCGCAUAUUGCACAAGUCCCCUCCUCUUGGCCUUUAACCCUGCUAUUUCUGCCCCGUCCCUUUCAGUCUCCUGGAUGCCCUCUAGAGUCCCCUGCUGUGAGCUGGGACCAUGCUGCCCCUCAAGUUCUGUGGGGGCAGUGGCCAGCCUGGAUGGGUGAGAUCUUGUGCCUCCCCCCCACCUCCAGGUAUCCCCCGUGGAGAAGAACACCAGUGAGACGCUAUAUUCCCUCAAGUUUGCUGAGAGGGUGCGCUCUGUGGAGUUGGGCCCCGUGUCCCGCCGGACGGAGCUUGGGUCCUGGUCGAGCCAGGAGCAUCUGGAGUGGGAGCCUGCUUGCCAGACGCCACAGCCCUCAGCACGAGCCCACUCAGCCCCCGGCUCUGGCUCCGGGACCUCCAGCCGCCCUGGCUCCAUCCGGAGGAAGCUGCAGCCCUCAGGUGAGCCUUUUAGGUGUGGGCCACAGGGAGGAAGCCUUCUCCAUGAGACUGCGGGCUUUUUCUUUUUUUUAAGUUUAUAAAACUUGCCCAGAGCCUCUUCUGCAGCCUCCCCAACCCCUGGGAAGUGGUCAAGGCCGACAGUACUGUGUCCACUUCAGAUGGGAAGUCUAAGGCCACAGCUGAGCUCAUGCAGUUCACCCCCUCCAAAGCUAGCCUGGCAUGCCCUGCCCUGUCCCUCGGCUCCUUGGGGGGUGGGAAGGACCGGGGUCAUGCCCAUUUCUCAGAUGAGGGCUGAGGCUGGCCACAGGGCUAGAGUCAGGGCCCAAGACUCCUGCUUGACCCCACUCAGGGAGGGGCCUGGCGAGCCCCUUGGGGUAGGGGCAGCAGGGUCCAGUGGGGUCCUGGCUGAGGCUGGCCCACAGUGAGACACCUGUCGCUUUGAUUGCAGCCUGACGGCUGGGGCUACAGUGUCCAGGAAAGUUGAGGCCGUUGCCUGUGUGAUGGACGUGCCCACCCUGCAGGGCCAGGACUAGGUCCCAGGGCCUUGCUGGCCUGCUCCUGUGCAGCACCAGGACCCCAGGAGGUGAAAGUGAAGAGUGGAGGCCCCUUUCCUGCUCUGUCUCCCCUCAGAGAUGAGAAACAUGUUCUGAAGGAAAUGCGUCUCUCGGCUGUGGCUCUGGGCACCAAUGGCGUGGGCUGGAAGGGCAGACCCAGCCGUCAGAGUCAGGCCCUUGAGGGGUGGACAGGAGUGUGUGGGAGGGGUGCCCCUCCCUGGGCUGCCCAGCUCCUCUCUGAGCCUGCAGGACUCGAUGGCCCCUCUGGUGGGUGGGCUGAGAUGCCUCUAGGAAAGCACUAGAACUGGGCCAUGGGAACUGGGCUGGGUUAGUGGGUACCAAGGGGCAGCCCUGGCCCCCGUCCCUCCAAUGAGGGGCUCCCAUAGUGGGGUGUACAUAGUGUUUCUAGGUGUACAUUGGGACUGGCCCGACCUACUCCAGGCGGGCCGUAUUUAUGGCUGGCAAAGAAGGCCAGCGGGCUGGGGCUCAUGACACCCCCACCUGCCUGACGCCGGGUUCUCUCCUUGCUCACUGGCCUCUUGACAUUUUUCUCUCUGAAUUCCUAUUUAAGAACUUUUGGAAAUUUAGCCAUUUUUACUUACUAAAAUAAAAGGUCUUUUUACACAUGCGUUGUCUGAGAGAGUUGGUCUAAUGUGCCCCUUGCGAUUAGAUGCUGGGGAGCAGGGUGUUGGCAGGUCCUGAUGCCCCAAUGCUGGCUUGUCCAGCUGCGUUUUUCUAUUGCUUGCGUUCAUGUUUGCUGUUAUUAGGCACCUACUGUGUGUGGGAAACAGGCUGAGAGAGGUUCAGAGGCUGGUCAGAUUCAUGGCUGGGGUUCAAACCCAGCUGCCUGACACCCCGUGGCCUGGCUUUGUUCCUCUUAAGUGAACUGGCCUCACAUGAGCACCUCCCUCCUCCCAGUACCUAUAGGACCCCCCAAUAAGCACCCCCCUCCUGACAGUACCUAUAGGAUGCCUCCUUACACCUGGUCCCAGCCUUGUGGGAAUCGUGCAGAGCUCUGUGGGGUUCUCCCUCCCUGACUGGGACGGAACCCGACAGCUGCUGUCUUGCAGGGAAAGGGGCCAAAUCUUAAGGCUGCACCCCACUCUUUCAGGAACGAUCGCUGGGUUAGGGGAGCUUGUACUGGCCAGAUAGAUAGCACUGGGGCUCUUGUUCAGAGCC